GCACCCGAGCACAGUUUCCUGAUAGCGUCUGAUCUCAGAAGCUAGGCAGAGUUGUGCCUGGUUAGUACUUGGAUAGGACACUGAUUUGGGAGACCAAACCAGGGGCC
rnacentral:rRNA from 12 species